rnacentral:rRNA from 1 species
GACGAACGCUGGCGGCGUGCUUAACACAUGCAAGUCGAACGGAAAGGCCCCUUUGGGGGUCCUCGAGUGGCGAACGGGUGCGUAACACGUGCGUAACCUGCCCUUGACUUCGGGAUAACUUCAGGUAACUGGGGCUAAUACCGGAUAGGAAUCCUUGCUGCAUGGUGGGGGUUGGAAAGCUUCGGCGGUUUUGGAUGGACUCGCGGCUUAUCGGCUUGUUGGUGCGGUAGUGGCUUACCAAGGCUUUGACGGGUGGCCGGCCUGAGAGGGCGACCGGCCAUACUGGGACUGAGAGGAGGCCGAGACUGCGACGGGAGGGAGAUGGGGGGAAGAUUGAACGAGGGGCGGAAGGCGGAUGCAGAAACGCCGCGGGUCGGAUGACGGCCUUAGGGGUGUAAACCGCAUUCAGCAGGAGCGAAGCUUGUGGUGACGGUACCUGAAGAAGAAGCACCGGCUAACUACGUG